rnacentral:rRNA from 1 species
GAUGAACGCUGGCGGCGUGCCUAAUACAUGCAAGUCGAGCGAAUGGAUUAAGAGCUUGCUCUUAUGAAGUUAGCGGCGGACGGGUGAGUAACACGUGGGUAACCUGCCCAUAAGACUGGGAUAACUCCGGGAAACCGGGGCUAAUACCGGAUAACAUUUUGAACCGCAUGGUUCGAAAUUGAAAGGCGGCUUCGGCUGUCACUUAUGGAUGGACCCGCGUCGCAUUAGCUAGUUGGUGAGGUAACGGCUCACCAAGGCAACGAUGCGUAGCCGACCUGAGAGGGUGAUCGGCCACACUGGGACUGAGACACGGCCCAGACUCCUACGGGAGGCAGCAGUAGGGAAUCUUCCGCAAUGGACGAAAGUCUGACGGAGCAACGCCGCGUGAGUGAUGAAGGCUUUCGGGUCGUAAAACUCUGUUGUUAGGGAAGAACAAGUGCUAGUUGAAUAAGCUGGCACCUUGACGGUACCUAACCAGAAAGCCACGGCUAACUACGUGCCAGCAGCCGCGGUAAUACGUAGGUGGCAAGCGUUAUCCGGAAUUAUUGGGCGUAAAGCGCGCGCAGGUGGUUUCUUAAGUCUGAUGUGAAAGCCCACGGCUCAACCGUGGAGGGUCAUUGGAAACUGGGAGACUUGAGUGCAGAAGA